rnacentral:rRNA from 1 species
AUACGGAGGAUCCGAGCGUUAUCCGGAUUUAUUGGGUUUAAAGGGAGCGUAGGUGGAUUGUUAAGUCAGUUGUGAAAGUUUGCGGCUCAACCGUAAAAUUGCAGUUGAAACUGGCAGUCUUGAGUACAGUAGAGGAGGGCGGAAUUCGUGGUGUAGCGGUGAAAUGCUUAGAUAUCACGAAGAACUCCGAUUGCGAAGGCAGCUCACUAGACUGUUACUGACACUGAUGCUCGAAAGUGUGGGUAUCAAACAGGAUUAGAUACCCUGGUAGUCCACACAGUAAACGAUGAAUACUCGCUGUUUGCGAUAUACAGUAAGCGGCCAAGCGAAAGCAUUAAGUAUUCCACCUGGGGAGUACGCCGGCAACGGUGAAACUCAAAUGAAUUGGCGGGG